CCGGCAUCGUACAAGCGACACCGGUGUGGACGGAUUACCUGCAAGUUGUGAUAGAAGAUGUGGAACCGGUCGCUGAACCAAGACCGUCAGACCAAAAUCCCCCUAAAGUAAAAGUCAGCGAGUCACAAGUGAAAAUGACAGAGGGAGAGAGCAAAACCAUCGACUGUAAUCCUGAGGGAUAUCCGCUGCCGAUCGUUCAGUGGACGAAGGAGGAAGGUCAAUUCACCAGCGGCACAAGACAAGAGGGCAAUGCGCUGGUCAUAUCUGCGGCCAAGGAAGAUGAUACGGGGUAUUAUAUAUGCAGUGCCGUCGUAGAUGGAACUGCUCACUACACUGAUUACC